rnacentral:rRNA from 1 species
ACAACGACUCUCGGCAACGGAUAUCUCGGCUCUCGCAUCGAUGAAGAACGUAGCGAAAUGCGAUACUUGGUGUGAAUUGCAGAAUCCCGUGAACCAUCGAGUCUUUGAACGCAAGUUGCGCCCGAAGGCCCUUUCGGCCGAGGGCACGCCUGCCUGGGCGUCACGCA